GCCGUUGUAGCUCAAGCAUCUGGCAGAGCACCCGAGUGAAGACCGGGAGGUUGCGAGUUCGAUUCUCGCCGACGGCACCA
rnacentral:tRNA from 1 species